CCUACGGGUGGCAGCAGUGAGGAAUAUUGGUCAAUGGGCUUACGCCUGAACCAGCCAAGUCGCGUGAGGGAAGACUGCCCUAUGGGUUGUAAACCUCUUUUGUCAGGGAGCAAUUGGCGCUACGUGUAGCGUUAUCGAGAGUACCUGAAGAAAAAGCAUCGGCUAACUCCGUGCCAGCAGCCGCGGUAACACGGAGGAUGCGAGCUGUAUCCGGAUUUAUUGGGUUUGAAGGGUGCGUAGGCGGGCUUUUAAGUCAGCGGUAAAAAUUCGGGGCUCAACCCCGUCCGGCCGUUGAAACUGGGGGCCUUGAGUAGGCGAGGGGAAGGCGGAAGGCGUGGUGUAGCGGUGAAAUGCGUAGAUAUCACGAAGAAGCCCGAUGGCGAAGGCAGCCUUCCGGCGCCCUACUGACGCUGAGGCACGAAAGUGCGGGGAUCGAACAGGAUUAGAUACCCGGGUAGUC
rnacentral:rRNA from 1 species